rnacentral:rRNA from 1 species
UACAUGGGGUGCAAACGUUGCUCGGAAUUAUUGGGCGUAAAGCGCACGUAGGCGGUUCGUUAAGUCGGAUGUGAAAGCCCUCGGCUCAACUGAGGAAGUGCACCCGAAACUGGCGAGCUUGAGUACGAAAGAGGAUCGCGGAAUUCCCGGUGUAGAGGUGAAAUUCGUAGAUAUCGGGAGGAACACCGGUGGCGAAGGCGGCGAUCUGGGUCAAUACUGACGCUGAGGUGCGAAAGCGUGGGGAGCAAACAGG